rnacentral:rRNA from 1 species
UACGAAGGUCCCGAGCGUUGUUCGGAAUCACUGGGCGUAAAGGGAGCGUAGGCGGCGUGGUAAGUCAGAUGUGAAAUCCCGGGGCUCAACCCCGGAACUGCAUCCGAUACUGCCGUGCUAGAGGAUUGGAGAGGUAGCUGGAAUUCUUGGUGUAGCAGUGAAAUGCGUAGAGAUCAAGAGGAACACUCGUGGCGAAAGCGGCUUCCUGGUCCAGCACCGACGUUCAGGCACGAAAGCGUGGGGAGCAAACAGG